AUGAAGCAUUUUAUAAAGCCAUACUCAAAAGAUAUAAGUGAAGUGCAUAGAGCAUUCUAUAAAUCAACCAAGGACUAUCUCAUACCAGCAUGGUGCAUAAAAGAAAAAUUAAAACUAAAUGCAAAAGACGCUCCAAGAUUGCACAUAUCGCAUGAACGAAACGAAUCCGAAAAGAUAUCGAUACUUGUUGAAGAAAGAGGGGAUGCCUUCCGGGGCAUCCCAAAGCUUAGACGCUUGAGUCUCCUUGAAUAUUUACUUGGGGUGCCUCGGGCAUCCCCAAGCUUGAGCUCUUGCCUCUCUUCCUUCUUCUCACAUCGAGACCUUCUCGAUCAUCGAACACUUCAUCCACACAAAACUUCAACAGCAAACUCGGUAAGAUCCGGUAGUAUAAUAAAGCAAAUCACUACUCUAAGUACUGUUGCAAACCAAUUCAUAUUUUGUUUUUGCAUUUUGUCUACUUUAAUAUAA
rnacentral:rRNA from 1 species